UGCCUGCCUGCUUGCCUUGUCCCGACCCACAUCUGCUCAUUAUCUGAGGAGCUCAAGGAGGUGAAACAGAGGAGAAACAUCUGGAGUGCUGCUAGAGGAAGACUCAUUCUAUGGGUUAUCAAUUUUUAAAGUAUGUAACUUUAAAAUAAAUAAAUGGAAGGAGACACGAGAGAAGACAACCUGGUUUCAGGAAGAAAGCUUUC